rnacentral:rRNA from 1 species
GGCGUAACUACCGUGCCAGCAGCCGCGGUAAUACGGAGGGUGCGAGCGUUAAUACGGAAGUUACUGGGCGUAAAGACGCAUGCAGGUGGUUUGUUUAAGUUACAGAUGUGAAAGACCCGGGGCGUCAACCUCGGAAUAGCAUUUGAAACUGGCAGACUAGAGUACUGUAGAGGGGGGUAGAAUUUCAGGUGUAGCGGUGAAAUGCGUAGAGAUCUGAAGGAAUACCGGUGGCGAAGGCGGCCCCCUGGACAGAUACUGACACUCAGAUGCGAAAGCGUGGGGAGCAAACAGGAUUAGAUACCCUGGUAG